rnacentral:rRNA from 1 species
AACGAACGCUGGCGGCAUGGAUUAGGCAUGCAAGUCGAACGAAGCAGCAAUGCUUAGUGGCGGAAGGGUGAGGAACGCGUGAGUAAUCUGCCCCCAAGUUGGGAAUAACAGCUGGAAACGGCUGCUAAUACCGAAUGUGGCUCAUUUGAGGCAUCUUGAAUGGGCUAAAGAUUUAUCGCUUGGGGAUGAGCUCGCGUCCCAUUAGGUAGUUGGUGAGGUAACGGCUCACCAAGCCGACGAUGGGUAGCUGGUCUGAGAGGAUGGUCAGCCACACUGGGACUGAGACACUGCCCAGACUCCUACGGGAGGCUGCAGUCGAGAAAUC